GCAUAUCAAUAAGCGGAGGAAAAGAAACCAACAGGGAUUGCCCCAGUAACGGCGAGUGAAGCGGCAACAGCUCAAAUUUGAAAUCUGGUCCCCUUUGGGGGCCCGAGUUGUAAUUUGAAGAGGAUGCUUUUGGCGAGGCGCCGUCCGAGUUCCCUGGAACGGGACGCCGCAGAGGGUGAGAGCCCCGUACGGUCGGACGCCGAGCCUCUGUAAAGCUCCUUCGACGAGUCGAGUAGUUUGGGAAUGCUGCUCAAAAUGGGAGGUAAACCCCUUCUAAAGCUAAAUACCGGCCAGAGACCGAUAGCGCACAAGUAGAGUGAUCGAAAGAUGAAAAGCACUUUGAAAAGAGAGUUAAAAAGCACGUGAAAUUGUUAAAAGGGAAGCGCUUGCGACCAGACUUGCGCCCGUCGGAUCAACCGUCGCUUGCGGCGGCGCACUCCGGCGGGCUCAGGCCAGCAUCAGUUCGCCUGGGGGGAGAAAGGCGGCGGGAAUGUGGCUCUUCGGAGUGUUAUAGCCCGCCGUGUAAUACCCUCGGGUGGACUGAGGACCGCGCGUAUGCAAGGAUGCUGGCGUAAUGGUCGUCAGCGACCCGUCUUGAAACACGGACCAAGGAGUCGUCCUAAUAUGCGAGUGUACGGGUGUCAAACCCCUGCGCGUAAUGAAAGUGAACGGAGGUGAGAGCUUCGGCGCAUCAUCGACCGAUCCUGAUGUUAUCGGAUGGAUUUGAGUAAGAGCAUAUUGGGCCGGACCCGAAAGAAGGUGAACUAUGCCUGUGUAGGGUAAAGCCAGAGGAAACUCUGGUGGAGGCUCGCAGCGGUUCUGACGUGCAAAUCGAUCGUCAAACAUGGGCAUGGGGGCGAAAGACUAAUCGAACCUUCUAGUAGCUGGUUUCCGCCGA
rnacentral:rRNA from 1 species